rnacentral:rRNA from 1 species
AUUGAACGCUGGCGGCAGGCCUAACACAUGCCAGUCGAGCGGAUGAAGGGAGCUUGCUCCUGGAUUCAGCGGCGGACGGGUGAGUAAUGCCUAGGAAUCUGCCUGGUAUUGGGGGAUAACGUCCGGAAACGGGCGCUAAUACCGCAUACGUCCUGAGGGAGAAAGUGGGGGAUCUUCGGACCUCACGCUAUCAGAUGAGCCUAGGUCGGAUUAGCUAGUUGGUGGGGUAAAGGCCUACCAAGGCGACGAUCCGUAACUGGUCUGAGAGGAUGAUCAGUCACACUGGAACUGAGACACGGUCCAGACUCCUACGGGAGGCAGCAGUAGGGAAUAUUGGACAAUGGGCGAAAGCCUGAUCCAGCCAUGCCGCGUGUGUGAAGAAGGUCUUCGGAUUGUAAAGCACUUUAAGUUGGGAGGAAGGGCAGUAAGUUAAUACCUUGCUGUUUUGACGUUACCAACAGAAUAAGCACCGGCUAACUUCGUG